CAAAGGAGGCGACUCCGGAGACGGAUGGGCAUGCGUGACAUUAGCUUGUUGGCGGGGUAACGGCCCACCAAGGCGACGAUGUCUAGGGGUUCUGAGAGGAAGGUCCCCCACACUGGUACUGAGACACGGACCAGACUCCUACGGGAGGCAGCAGUGAGGAAUAUUGGUCAAUGGGCGAGAGCCUGAACCAGCCAAGUCGCGUGAAGGAUGACGGCCCUACGGGUUGUAAACUUCUUUUGUCAGGGAGCAAUUGGGUCCACGCGUGGGCUUAGCGAGAGUACCUGAAGAAAAAGCAUCGGCUAACUCCGUGCCAGCAGCCGCGGUAAUACGGAGGAUGCGAGCGUUAUCCGGAUUUAUUGGGUUUAAAGGGUGCGUAGGCGGAAUAUCAAGUCAGCGGUAAAAAUUCGGGGCUCAACCCCGUCGUGCCGUUGAAACUGAUGUUCUUGAGUGGGCGAGAAGUAUGCGGAAUGCGUGGUGUAGCGGUGAAAUGCAUAGAUAUCACGCAGAACUCCGAUUGCGAAGGCAGCAUACCGGCGCCCAACUGACGCUGAAGCACGAAAGCGUGGGUAUCGAACAGGAUUAGAUACCCUGGUAGUCCACGCAGUAAACGAUGAAUGCUAAUUGUCCGGAGGGAUUGACCUCUGG
rnacentral:rRNA from 1 species